UCCUGGUUAGCUCAGUUGGUAGAGCGCUCCACUGGAAAGAGAGAGGUCCCGGGUUCAAUACCCGGACCAGGCG
rnacentral:tRNA from 2 species